rnacentral:rRNA from 1 species
CCUACGGGAGGCAGCAGUGGGGAAUAUUUCGCAAUGGGCGAAAGCCUGACGCAGCGACGCCGCGUGAGGGAUGAAGGUCUUCGGAUCGUUAACCUCUGUCAGCAGGGAAGAACGGUCACUGUGCUAAUCAGUAGUGAAUUGACGGUACCUGCACAGGAAGCACCGGCUAACUCCUUGCCAGCAGCCGCGGUAAUACGGAGGGUGCGAGCGUUAAUCGGAAUUACUGGGCGUAAAGCGCUCGUAGGCGGUAUGUCAAGUCAAGGGUGAAAUCCCCGCGCUCAACGUGGGAACUGCCUUUGAAACUGGUAAACUGGAGUGUGUGAGAGGAUAGUGGAAUUCCAGGUGUAGGAGUGAAAUCCGUAGAUAUCUGGAGGAACAUCAGUGGCGAAGGCGAGUAUCUGGCACAUAACUGACGCUGAGGAGCGAAAGCGUGGGUAGCAAACAGGAUUAGAUACCCGAGUAGUC